GGGGAAUUUUCCGCAAUGGGCGAAAGCCUGACGGAGCAAUACCGCGUGAGGGAGGAGUGCCUUUGGGUAGUAAACCUCUUUUCUCAGGGAAGAAGAUCUGACGGUACCUGAGGAAUAAGUAUCGGCUAACUCCGUGCCAGCAGCCGCGGUAAUACGGAGGAUGCAAGCGUUAUCCGGAAUCAUUGGGCGUAAAGCGUCCGCAGGUGGUUUCCAAAGUCUGCUGUUAAAGACUGGAGCUCAACUCCGGAACGGCGGUGGAAACUUGGAAACUAGAGUUCGGUAGGGGUAGCAGGAAUUCCCAGUGUAGCGGUGAAAUGCGUAGAUAUUGGGAAGAACAUCGGUGGCGAAGGCGUGCUACUGGACCGUAACUGACACUCAGGGACGAAAGCUAGGGGAGCGAAAGGGAUUAGAUACCCCUGUAGUCCUAGCUGUAAACGAUGGAAACUAGGUGUGGCUUG
rnacentral:rRNA from 1 species